GACGAACGUUGGCGGCGUGCUUAACACAUGCAAGUCGAACGGAAAGGCCCUGCUUUUGUGGGGUGCUCGAGUGGCGAACGGGUGAGUAACACGUGAGUAACCUGCCCUUGACUUUGGGAUAACUUCAGGAAACUGGGGCUAAUACCGGAUAGGAGCUCCUGCUGCAUGGUGGGGGUUGGAAAGUUUCGGCGGUUGGGGAUGGACUCGCGGCUUAUCAGCUUGUUGGUGGGGUAGUGGCUUACCAAGGCUUUGACGGGUAGCCGGCCUGAGAGGGUGACCGGCCACAUUGGGACUGAGAUACGGCCCAGACUCCUACGGGAGGCAGCAGUGGGGAAUAUUGCACAAUGGGCGGAAGCCUGAUGCAGCAACGCCGCGUGCGGGAUGACGGCCUUCGGGUUGUAAACCGCUUUCGCCUGUGACGAAGCGUGAGUGACGGUAAUGGGUAAAGAAGCACCGGCUAACUACGUGCCAGCAGCCGCGGUGAUACGUAGGGUGCGAGCGUUGUCCGGAUUUAUUGGGCGUAAAGGGCUCGUAGGUGGUUGAUCGCGUCGGAAGUGUAAUCUUGGGGCUUAACCCUGAGCGUGCUUUCGAUACGGGUUGACUUGAGGAAGGUAGGGGAGAAUGGAAUUCCUGGUGGAGCGGUGGAAUGCGCAGAUAUCAGGAGGAACACCAGUGGCGAAGGCGGUUCUCUGGGCCUUUCCUGACGCUGAGGAGCGAAAGCGUGGGGAGCGAACAGGCUUAGAUACCCUGGUAGUCCACGCUGUAAACGGUGGGUACUAGGUGUGGGGUCCAUUCCACGGGUUCCGUGCCGUAGCUAACGCUUUAAGUACCCCGCCUGGGGAGUACGGCCGCAAGGCUAAAACUCAAAGGAAUUGACGGGGCCCCGCACAAGCGGCGGAGCAUGCGGAUUAAUUCGAUGCAACGCGUAGAACCUUACCUGGGUUUGACAUGGAUCGGGAGUGCUCAGAGAUGGGUGUGCCUCUUUUGGGGUCGGUUCACAGGUGGUGCAUGCCUGUCGUCAGCUCGUGUCGUGAGAUGUUGGGUUAAGUCCCGCAACGAGCGCAACCCUUGUUCACUGUUGCCAGCACGUUAUGGUGGGGACUCAGUGGAGACCGCCGGGGUCAACUCGGAGGAAGGUGGGGAUGACGUCAAGUCAUCAUGCCCCUUAUGUCCAGGGCUUCACGCAUGCUACAAUGGCUGGUACAGAGAGAGGCGAGCCUGUGAGGGUGAGCGAAUCUCGGAAAGCCGGUCUCAGUUCGGAUUGGGGUCUGCAACUCGACCUCAUGAAGUCGGAGUCGCUAGUAAUCGCAGAUCAGCAACGCUGCGGUGAAUACGUUCCCGGG
rnacentral:rRNA from 1 species